CCUACGGGAGGCAGCAGUAGGGAAUAUUGCUCAAUGGGGGAAACCCUGAAGCAGCAACGCCGCGUGGAGGAUGAAGGUUUUCGGAUUGUAAACUCCUUUUGUUAGAGAAGAUAAUGACGGUAUCUAACGAAUAAGCACCGGCUAACUCCGUGCCAGAAGCCGCGGUAAUACGGAGGGUGCAAGCGUUACUCGGAAUCACUGGGCGUAAAGAGAGCGUAGGGGGUUUAGCAAGUCAGAUGUGAAAUCCUAUGGCUUAACCAUAGAACUGCAUUUGAAACUGUUAGUCUAGAGUAUGGGAGAGGUAGGUGGAAUUCUUGGUGUAGGGGUAAAAUCCGUAGAGAUCAAGAGGAAUACUCAUUGCGAAGGCGACCUGCUAGAACAUAACUGACACUGAUGCGCGAAAGCGUGGGGAGCAAACAGGAUUAGAUACCCCUGUAGUC
rnacentral:rRNA from 1 species